GGACGAAAGUCUGACGGAGCAACGCCGCGUGUAUGAUGAAGGUCUUCGGAUUGUAAAGUACUGUCUUUGGGGAAGAACGGUGGCUUUGAAAAUAUUGAGGCCACAUGACGGUACCCAAGGAGGAAGCCCCGGCUAACUACGUGCCAGCAGCCGCGGUAAUACGUAGGGGGCAAGCGUUGUCCGGAAUUAUUGGGCGUAAAGGGCGCGUAGGCGGAUUGUUAAGUCCGGUGUGAAAGAUCAGGGCUCAACCCUGAGAGUGCAUCGGAAACUGGGAAUCUUGAGGACAGGAGAGGAAAGUGGAAUUCCACGUGUAGCGGUGAAAUGCGUAGAUAUGUGGAGGAACACCGGUGGCGAAGGCGACUUUCUGGACUGUAACUGACGCUGAGGCGCGAAAGCGUGGGGAGCAAACAGGAUUAGAUACCCUGGUAGUCCACGCCGUAAACGAUGAGUGCUAGGUGUAGAGGGUAUCGACCCCUUCUGUGCCGCAGUUAACACAAUAAGCACUCCGCCUGGGGAGUACGG
rnacentral:rRNA from 1 species